AUUGAACGCUGGCGGCAGGCCUAACACAUGCAAGUCGAACGAGUGGCGGACGGGUGAGUAAUGUCUGGGAAACUGCCCGAUGGAGGGGGAUAACUACUGGAAACGGUAGCUAAUACCGCAUACCAUCGGAUGUGCCCAGAUGGGAUUAGCUGGUAGGUGAGGUAACGGCUCACCUAGGCGACGAUCCCUAGAUGGUCUGAGAGGAUGACCAGCCAAACUGGAACUUAGACACGGUCCAGAAUCCUACGUGAGGCAGCAGUGGGUAAUAGGGCACAAGGGGCGCAAGCCGGAUGCAGCCACGCCGCGUGUAUGAAGAAGGCCUUCGGGUUGUAAAGUACUUUCAGCGGGGAGGCGGUACCCGCAGAAGAAGCACCGGCUAACUCCGUGCCAGCCGCCGCGGUAAUUC
rnacentral:rRNA from 1 species